AUUGAACGCUGGCGGCAGGCCUAACACAUGCAAGUCGAACGAGAGGCUGAAGGGUGAGUAAUGUCUGGGACACUGCCUGCUGGAGGGGGAUAACUACUGGAAACGGUAGCUAAUACCGCAUACCAUCAUAUGUUCCCAUAUGGGUUUAGCUAGUUGGUGGGGUAACGGCGCAUCAAGGCGACGAUCCCUAGCUGGUCUGAGAGGAUGACCGGCCACACUGGAACUGAGACACGGUCCAGACUACUACGGGAGGCAGCAGUGGGGAAUAUUGCACAAUGGGCGCAAGCCUGAUGCAGCCAUGACGCGGGUAUGAAGAAGGCCUUCGGGUUGUAAAGUACUUUCAGAGGGGAGGCGUUACCCGCAGAAGAAGCACCGGCUAACUCCGUGCCAGCAGGCGCGGUAAUUC
rnacentral:rRNA from 1 species